CUCUUCCCAGCGCCUUCUGAGGAGAAAUCGGGCCCUCGACGCCCGGGUCUCAGUUUUAAAUCCGAUAAUAGUUUUUUGGUGCUUCAGAAGUUAAAAUGCAGACAGGAUUAACAUACAGGAAUGACAACAUCCGAGCAAAGCUUGCACAAACAACAGGAGAACCCGAUUCUGAAGACCACAGAUUCGUUUUCAUCUAUGAUUUUGUACACAGGGCAACAGCAACGUCUGAAAAAGAGACAGUGAUAUAAAGAUACUUUAAAGAUACAAAAACUUAGUAUGAUUUUUAAUUUGAGUCAAUUAAACCUUACUUUAUAGACCAUGAUUUCAAACAAGUUUAAAUGAAAUUUCAAAAUAC
rnacentral:sRNA from 1 species